UGGGGAAUAUUGGACAAUGGGCGAAAGCCUGAUCCAGCCAUGCCACGUGUGUGAAGAAGGUCUUCGGAUUGUAAAGCACUUUAAGUUGGGAGGAAGGGCAGUAAGCUAAUACCUUGCUGUUUUGACGUUACCGACAGAAUAAGCACCGGCUAACUCUGUGCCAGCAGCCGCGGUAAUACAGAGGGUGCAAGCGUUAAUCGGAAUUACUGGGCGUAAAGCGCGCGUAGGUGGUUUGUUAAGUUGGAUGUGAAAGCCCCGGGCUCAACCUGGGAACUGCAUCCAAAACUGGCAGGCUAGAGUACGGUAGAGGGUGGUGGAAUUUCCUGUGUAGCGGUGAAAUGCGUAGAUAUAGGAAGGAACACCAGUGGCGAAGGCGACCACCUGGACUGAUACUGACACUGAGGUGCGAAAGCGUGGGGAGCAAACA
rnacentral:rRNA from 1 species